UACGUAGGGGGCUAGCGUUGUCCGGAAUCAUUGGGCGUAAAGAGCGUGUAGGCGGCCCGGUAAGUCCGCUGUAAAAGUCAAAGGCUCAACCUUUGAAUGUCAGUGGAUACUGCCGGGCUAGAGUCCGGAAGAGGCGAGUGGAACUCCUGGUGUAGCGGUGGAAUGCGCAGAUAUCAGGAAGAACACCGACGGCGAAGGCAGCUCGCUGGGACGGUACUGACGCUGAGGCGCGAAAGCGUGGGGAGCGAACAGG
rnacentral:rRNA from 1 species